GUGACGAUAUAUAUAUAUAUAUAUAUGUCGUUCAAGUGCAAGUGCAUUAUAAUGUCAUUUAAAGUGAUAUAGUGCGAUUGUGAAGCUUAACUAUCUCGAGCAAUUUCCAAGGGCGGACUAAUUCGGAUUUAUGACUGCUGGGUGGCAUGCGAUUACGCCGGAAACACACGACUCCGUGGACUCCAACGGGUCCUGGCAACUUGUCACCGCCGAAAGUUAAGUUCCCGGUGCGCGAGGGCGCAACUGGUGGCGAAAGCCAGCGGAGAGAGAGAAACGAGAAAAAGAAAGCUCGAGUGUACAAGCGAGGGACAGAGAGAUGAGGAGCCGACGACGGAGAUGGCGUAUUUAUUACAUCCCGGCGGAAUUGCUUGCGAGACGGUGAUACAUAAGUAACCAGAAUUGCAAAAUUAGAAAUGAAUAUUAAGCAAGAGAGCGCACCACCACCGUCGGCAAACAAAGUGCGACGAAAUAGCAGGGUACAUAAAUAAACUCGCGCCGGGAUGGAACUUCUGGAAAUUAUGCCGCCGUAAAAGCUGUCAUACGCAAACGUUACACAAAAGUCGGCGUAAUUGCGAAAUCGAGUCGGCGCCCAUCGCGCAUGUUCAACGAGAGUUUGUAUCGCUUCACCGGCGAAACUUCAGCAAGCGCAGCGGUUGCUGUGGAAUUCGGACAUCAGAUGUCACUCAGGCGUGGUGGCCGCCCUCGGGGACUUGAGAUUUAAAACCACAACAACGAGGGUUGAUCAGUGCGCGUUCGAUGGAUAAAAGCACGAAUACCGCCACCCUCCUGUGACUGCCACGUGUUGCCUUGAUUCUUAUCCCAAAAAUGUUUACUACACGAUAUCGACAUCUGCACACCUACACUUUUGUAUUUCUGUAUUAUAAUUAAUUAAUUGUAUAU